rnacentral:rRNA from 1 species
UCAUUACUGAACUGUCAACACGAGUUGUUGCUGGUCCUCAAAUGGGGGCAUGUGCACGCUCUGUUUACAUACCCACUCACACCUGUGCACCCUCUGUAGUUCUGUGGUGUGGGGGACUCUGUCCUCCCGCUGUGGUUCUAUGUUUUUACACACACACAGUCUCAUAGAAUGUAUGUCGCGUUUAACGCAAUACAAUACAACUUUCAGCAACGGAUCUCUUGGCUCUCGCAUCGAUGAAGAACGCAGCGAAAUGCGAUAAGUAAUGUGAAUUGCAGAAUUCAGUGAAUCAUCGAAUCUUUGAACGCACCUUGCGCCCUUUGGCUAUUCCGAAGGGCAUGCCUGUUUGAGUAUCAUGAACACCUCAACUCUCAUGGUUUGCCAUGAUGAGAUUGGACUUUGGGGGUCUUGCUGGCCUAUGGGUCAGCUCCUCUCAAAUGAAUCAGCUUGCCAGUGUUUGGUGGCAUCACAGGUGUGAUAACUAUCUACGCUUGUGGUUUUCCAUCAGAUAACCUUCAGUGAUGGAGGUUCGCUGGGGCUCAUAAAUGUCUCUCCUCAG